CUAUUUUGCUAGAAAAAAAUGGGGAGAGCAAAAAGAAAAUGAAAAGAGAGAGAGAGAAUGAAAACAAAAUGAAAAUGAGACAAAGAAGAGAGCAAGAAAAAAGAAAUAAUGAAGAGAUCUCAUCCCCUAGUUGAUCUUUCUCUCUACCUAAACCAUCUUUUUCUUCUUUGUGUAUCCAAUGGGUGAAAUCCAAUAGAGGUUCCUAGAUUGGCAUUAUG
rnacentral:lncRNA from 1 species